GGGGCCGUAGCCCAGCAGGUAGAGGCACACGACUUAGGAUCGUGCCAGUGCGGGUUCGAAUCCCGUCGGCCCUA
rnacentral:tRNA from 1 species